GUGUUUUAAAGGUGUUUCACGUUUGUCAAGGAGCGCUACAAGGGAAACCAUACCCUCCCUGUGAAUUUAAUGCAGCCAAUGAGAAAUCACAGACUACGCAUGUAGGUCCAGUGCUCCAGUAAGCAGAAGACGGAGAACAGUCUCCAGAAGUGAAAAGCACUAUCGUGUGAUUCCACACCUUCUCAGUGAGAAGCAUCAGG